rnacentral:rRNA from 1 species
AGGGUGUAAACGCUGCAGACUUGGUGUUGGGAACCCUUCGGGGGUGCUCAGUGCCGGAGAGAAGUUGUUAAGUCUGCUACUUGGGAGUACGUCCGCAAGGAUGAAACUUAAAGGAAUUGGCGGGGGAGCACCGCAACGGGAGGAGCGUGCGGUUUAAUUGGAUUCAACGCCGAAAAACUCACCAGCAGCGACUGUUACAUGAAAGUCAGGUUGAUGACCUUACUAGAUUUUCAGAGAGGUGGUGCAUGGCGUCAGUGACU